AGAAGGCCCGAGGGAAACCCGGGCUUCCUCUCCCUCCAGCAGUCUACUGGCAGAUGAUAGUUUUCCCCCUCUACACAAACGAAGACGAGAGAGAUGGAGGUUUUGAGGUCAUUACGGGUAGCCGGAUUGAAUGAGUGUAUCCUCUUCUGCUGGUGAGGUCUUCUAUUGAUGGUGGUGGCUGAUAUCAACGCCAACCUCCUGGAGAGUUCCUCGUGUGUCACACAGUCUACAUUAUGGUGAGCAUUCUUAUGAACAUUAUGGUGAACAUUAUGGUGAGCAUUCUUUGGUCCGCCACCGUUGCCAAGUUCCCCGUUGCCGAGUUCACCAUUGCCUUCCUCCAGUGCAAUGAUUUUCCCAAGCGUCAUAUUUCGGAAGCCGAUGGUUUUUCUGAUUUAUCAGCCUCAUAAUGGCUUCCUUGAGUUUUCA